AACGUAGGAGACGAGCGUUAUCCGGAAUUACUGGGCGUAAAGCGCGAGUAGGCGGCUAUUUAAGUGGUCUGUGAAAGCGUCCGGCUCAACUGGACGAGGCCGGAUCAGACUGGAUGGCUCGAGGGUCAGAGAGGCAGGCGGAAUUCCGGGAGUAGUGGUGAAAUGCGUAGAGAUCCGGAGGAACACCAGUGGCGAAGGCGGCCUGCUGGCUGACAACUGACGCUGAGGCGCGAAAGCAUGGGGAGCGAACGGG
rnacentral:rRNA from 1 species